CCGGCGACACUAAGACACUAGCAAAGUCGUAACGGCGUUAAAACUCAGUCUUUUAGUAUUGAGAGCGGUUAGUGGCGGGAACUGGUGAGUAACACGUAAAGCAACCUAGCCUAUCAGAGGGGAAGUAACAGUGAGAAAUCAUUGCUAAUACCGCAUAUGCUCACAGUAUCACAUGAUACAGUGAGGAAAGGAGCAAUCCGCUGAUAGAUGGGCUUGCGUCUGAUUAGUUAGUUGGUGGGGUAACGGCCUACCAAGACUACGAUCAGUAGCCGGACUGAGAGGUUGAACGGCCACAUUGGGACUGAGAUACGGCCCAGGCUCCUACGGGAGGCAGCAGUCGGGAAUAUUGCGCAAUGGAGGAAACUCUGACGCAGUGACGCCGCGUAUAGGAAGAAGGUUUUCGGAUUGUAAACUAUUGUCAUUAGGGAAGAUAAAAGACUGUACCUAAGGAGGAAGCCCCGGCUAACUAUGUG
rnacentral:rRNA from 1 species